CGGCUAAUGGCGACCCCGCGUCGUUCCCCGCUCCCUCGCCGCCGCCCCGGGCGCCUCCCCGGCAGGCGGCGGCUGACCCCGGGAUCGCGGCCUCGGCGGGAGCCUCCCUCCAACCCCGAGCUCCGGCGCGGCCGCGACCUCUUUCCGUGGGACUGGCUGUGGGCUCCGCUCCCGCCGGGCCAGCUCCCGGGUACCGGCGCGGUGAGGUUGCGGGGUGGGGGGGGUGGGGGGGGAGAGAGGAGAGGUGGCGGUUUCUGAGGCGCGAAGGGUCGUCGUGCCGGGCCCCCCACCCCCCGCCGUGCGGCUGGAUGGAGCCCACCCGUGGACUGGUGACCGAGGGAGCAGAAACGUCCCCUGCCCUGCCCGGACGGGUUCGGCUCGGUUUGUGCAAAGUUUGAAAGCCCCCGAGAGCUGACAGAACGGAUUGCGACAUGAGUUUUCUCCACGAGCGUUAUGUGACAAGCAAUCAGGAAGACUUGAAAUAAGAUUGGUUAUUCUUUUUUUCACCAUUUGUGUGCCCAGAGCUCUGUUUUAAUAGAAUCUACUUUGAGCAGCUUUGACUUACAGUGGACUGCAUUCACCACCACGAUGCAUGGAAGCUCAAGACGCAGGGCUCUCAAGCAUCAGAGACCUCAGGAGACUUCUGAUUAGGAGCAGAUUCGGGAUUCUCUCUCAUAACGUGUUAAGUUACAUUUUACUAGCCAAGUAAUGUGCUAGAGCUCCCACAAGCCUGUCUCCCGUCAUAACAUCAAUCACAGGAGCAAUGAGUCAAUAAGGCUGUCCAACUGUGGAAAGAUAAAGCACAGUUCAGAGGUGUCCUGUGCCUUAUGACAAAAAAACCAUCUUGCCUUCAGAAUCUGAUGGUCCUGGCUUCUGAUGUAAGUGGUCAGAGGGUAAGCAAUUUACCAAGACAAAAAUCCCCCAGAAAUUACUGAUUUCCCCAUCACCUGCCAUAUAAAUUAUUCAUGAGUCAGUAUGCAUUUGUGACUGGCAGUAAGCUGUCAUGGCCUUGUGACUUUUAUUAAAUUAAUGUUUUAUGGGGCCGCAUAGAGGAUAUUACCUGGAACCCUACCACUUGUUCCCAAGAUGCUCUUUUUUUUUUUUUUUUCCCCUCAUAACUAUCUCAUUUCUCAGGUUGACCAUCUUAUUUACAUCUCCCUUUUAACAGCCUCGGCUCCGUUGUCUGUUUUUAAUUUGAGUUCCUCGUGUGGCUAGGCAUCCUGCUGGCAUUACCCAGAGGUAUGGGUGCUGCAGAAACCUUCCUGCGGGAAAAUGCUCUCGAUGUAGGGAUUGCAGGGCACAGUCCCCGGGUAAAUACAGGUGAGAAGGGGGGCAGUGAUCCUCUCAGGAUUUACGUAGUAAGUAUGUCCGUUUCCCAGCAGCGUGGCUGGCGCUCCAGCCACCAAGCCACAAUGCUGUGUCUUACAGCAGGUUGAAGGGAGGUGAAGCUAAGUGUGUCUUUGACUGAAGAAGGGUCAUUAAAGGAAAUUUAAAGGAGAAA